rnacentral:rRNA from 1 species
AGCGAAUAGAUACCCUGGUAGUCCACGCCGUAAACGAUGGAUGCUAGCUGUUAUCAGUAUCGACCCUGGUAGUAGCGAAGCUAACGCGUUAAGCAUCCCGCCUGAGGAGUACGAGCGCAAGCUUAAAACUCAAAGGAAUUGACGGGGACCCGCACAAGCGGUGGAGCGUGUUGUUUAAUUCGAUGGUAAGCGAAGAACCUUACCAAGGUUUGACAUCCUGGGAAAGUUGGUGAAAGCCGACCGUGCCUUCGGGAACCCAGUGACAGGUGAUGCAUGGCCGUCGUCAGCUCGUGUCGUGAGAUGUUUGGUUAAGUCCAUCAACGAGCGCAACCCUUAUAGUCUGUUGUAUUUCUCAGGCUAGACUGCCCCGGUAACGGGGAGGAAGGAGGGGAUGAUGUCAGGUCCGUAUUUCCCUUACACCUUGGGCUACAAACACGCUACAAUGGCCGGUACAAAGGGCUGCCAAGCAGCAAUGCGGAGCAAAUCCCAUCAAAGCCGGUCUCAGUUCGGAUUGUUGGCUGAAACUCGCCAGC